rnacentral:siRNA from 1 species
GGCUUACAUUAAUUUACCCAACU